GUCUUGACUGUUUACUAGCAAGUGUUCUUAGAGCUUUCCUUUUUUUUUCCCUUCCUUCUCUUCCUUUUAGGGGAAAUAGUUGCUUUAGAACAAGAAGUGAAGCGGAGGAAGCUCUUUAGUAUUUGGUAAUGCAAUGGCUGGAAGAUCACUAACUAUCAGAUUAACCAGGUGGACACACUGGGUAUCAGCAAUUAUUCUGCUGCUAUGGAGUCAUCAGAUCAGUGGGCAAGGACAAGGACCUUUGCUGGAGCCACUGCCUGUCACAGUGAUGAGCAGCAAGAUUUUCCCUCUGUCCCAGGUAGUACUGGGAUCUCACAGCCAUCUGGUGAAGCAAUGUGCCUUGAGCAUGUGUUUUCAGGCUGAUUCCUUUGCUUGUGCUGUGCACCACAUGAAUGUUCAGAUUAGCUGCCUUGCAGAAUUUGACAUGUCAGUAAGAAGCAGGGUACCUGAGGAGAAGCUUCGUCUCUUUUCUCUCUAAAAGCAUUUUCUUUCUGAGGUCUAUUAGCAUCAUAAUGCUGUUCUGACUCAUUUCCAUUGCAUCGGGUAUAAAGCAUAUUGCUUUGUUUACUACCGUGCAAGGGAUUAUGCAUCUUUCCUAUGUAAUAGUAGUAGUCCAUUCUAAGACUUGGAGUUUCCUAUUUGACAUCUGUCAAUGAAAUUCAUAUUUGUAUUCAUAUGUGUUUUGGUAAUAAAGUCUCGU